rnacentral:rRNA from 1 species
UACGUAGGUGGCAAGCGUUAUCCGGAUUUAUUGGGCGUAAAGGGAACUCAGGCGGUCUUUUAAGUCUGAUGUGAAAGCCUUCGGCUUAACCGGAGUAGCGCAUUGGAAACUGGGAGACUUGAGUGCAGAAGAGGAGAGUGGAACUCCAUGUGUAGCGGUGAAAUGCGUAGAUAUAUGGAAGAACACCAGUGGCGAAAGCGGCUCUCUGGUCUGUAACUGACGCUGAGGUUCGAAAGCGUGGGUAGCAAACAGG